UAGGGAAUCUUCCGCAAUGGACAAAAGUCUGACGGAGCAACGCCGCGUGAGUGAAGAAGGAUUUCGGUUCGUAAAACUCUGUUGUUAGGGAAGAAAAAAUGUAUAGUAACUAUAUACAAAAGAGACGGUACCUAACCAGAAAGCCACGGCUAACUACGUGCCAGCAGCCGCGGUAAUACGUAGGUGGCAAGCGUUGUCCGGAAUUAUUGGGCGUAAAGCGCGCGCAGGUGGUUUAGAAAGUCUGAUGUGAAAGCCCACGGCUCAACCGUGGAGGGUCAUUGGAAACUAAUAAACUUGAGUGCAGGAGAGAAAAGUGGAAUUCCUAGUGUAGCGGUGAAAUGCGUAGAGAUUAGGAGGAACACCGGUGGCGAAAGCGGCUUUUUGGCCUGCAACUGACACUGAGGCGCGAAAGCGUGGGGAGCAAACAGG
rnacentral:rRNA from 1 species